rnacentral:rRNA from 1 species
UACGAAGGGGGCUAGCGUUGCUCGGAAUCACUGGGCGUAAAGCGCACGUAGGCGGCUUUGUAAGUCAGAGGUGAAAGCCUGGAGCUCAACUCCAGAACUGCCUUUGAGACUGCAUCGCUUGAAUCCAGGAGAGGUGAGUGGAAUUCCGAGUGUAGAGGUGAAAUUCGUAGAUAUUCGCAAGAACACCAGUGGCGAAGGCGGCUGACUGGUCCGGUACUGGACGCUG